UAGGUGGAAUGUCCAUCUCUCCACAGGCUGAUAACUGGCUUUGUUCAUGGGCUGCACUACCACAAUGACAAUAAGGAACUGAAAUGGUGCCCCAUAUACAUAGGGAGAGGAGAAAAAUGCAGCUGGUGACAGGAUAGUUGAUCAGAUGGAGUGCCUGCCCUGAUCAAGUCUGACAAUUCUACAGUUUUAUCUUCCUGCAGAACAGAAAACUAGGCUGAACUGAUACUGGCAGUCAAGACAGCCUCCUGAAACAGCCAAGGGAAA
rnacentral:lncRNA from 12 species